rnacentral:rRNA from 1 species
AUUGAACGCUGGCGGCAUGCUUUACACAUGCAAGUCGAACGGUAACAGGCCGCAAGGUGCUGACGAGUGGCGAACGGGUGAGUAAUGCAUCGGAACGUGCCCAGUCGUGGGGGAUAACGCAGCGAAAGCUGCGCUAAUACCGCAUACGAUCUAUGGAUGAAAGCGGGGGACCGUAAGGCCUCGCGCGAUUGGAGCGGCCGAUGUCAGAUUAGGUAGGUGGUGAGGUAAAGGCUCACCAAGCCAACGAUCUGUAGCUGGUCUGAGAGGACGACCAGCCACACUGGGACUGAGACACGGCCCAGACUCCUACGGGAGGCAGCAGUGGGGGAUUUUGGACAAUGGGCGCAAGCCUGGUCCAGCAAUGCCGCGUGCAGGAAGAAGGCCUUCGGGUUGUAAACUGCUUUUGUACGGAACGAAACGGUCCGGGUUAAUACCCUGGGCUAAUGACGGUACCGUAAGAAUAAGCACCGGCUAACUACGUGCCAGCAGCCGCGGUAA